rnacentral:ncRNA from 1 species
GCACAGAAAGGGUAAACCUGUCGAAAGGCAGGGGCGCAAAGCUACGGUCUAAGCGGAUGUGCGAUUUUUACAGUCGCUGCCGUAGGACGGACGGGCUGCCUAG